rnacentral:misc_RNA from 1 species
AAGGUCCUUGGUGGCGGCAAACGUGUGUUUCAUUUCUCAACUUUGUUUUAUUGUUUUUGCUAUUUAGUAUCAUUUCUCUGUGUUUGGUUCCGGAGAUAUGUGUCAAUAAUGGUAGAUAUUUGACUUUGAUCUGAUCUCGCUGUCUCUCUUUGUUUAGUUUAUUUAUUAUUCUUAUUUCUUGAAUGUAUCUGGUUGUUAUUAAGAUCUAGAUUUGUUUUUGCGUGUUAGUAGAUCUGGCUUCUGUGAUUUUGAUUAAUCGGUACGUAUUUGGGCCUAAAAGAUAGGAAUUUCACUUUGUUGAUCCGAACAGUGCUUGAUGAGAUUGGUUCCAAUAAAGUUAACUUUAUAGCCCAGUGAAUCUCGCCGGUUUUCUGCUUCGUUUUGAAGCAGAAUUAAGCUAAAUAAUUAUAUGUUAAGCUUAAUAAGUAUUUUAGUUUUUCAUUGGCUAAAAAUUUUCAGCGCAAGUACUCUGCUAGUUUAAUUUGAUAUCGGCUAUUUUCCUUAGAAAAAUAAAUCUGAUAUUGUGACUAAUAAAUCCCUAAUAUUUCUUGUUCUUCUCAUGAACUUUUCUGCAUCAUUGUAAGUCGUUGAUAAUUCUGAUGUGUUCUGCUCAUUUUAUUGUGAUGCCAAACAUGUGCUGUAUACUUUUCUCUAAUUUGUAUAAAGUUGUAUGUAUGAAAUAGCUGCCGAUAUUUUCCUCUGGAGGA